GUAGCUGCUGCAGCCGCGGGAAGCCUGCGAGUAAGUGGGAGCGACCCGGCGGGAUCCCCCCGACCCUCGAUCCUAGGUCAUGGCGGGCCUGAGGGGCGACGCGAGCGCAGUCUGGGUGGGGGACGCCGGGCCGGGCUGCGCGGGUGGACGGCGAAUCGUUGCCCUCCCUGCUCGGGGCUACCUGUAUCCCUCGGUGUUUGGGGGAAACUAAGGACCCUGGAAGCUCUAGCAAGCUGGGAGAGCGGGAAGUACCCCACCUCUCCCCGUGCCUCGCCACCUCCAUCUCUAAGUGCCCCGAGGUGACCCUGACGCACCUCUGGUAUAGAAGGGAGCGGGAGGCAGAGGACCUGCCGUAGGUGAGGAUGAGGAUGUGGGCAGGACCAGGCCCAGCUGCUAGGUGACAGUGGCCCGCCGACUUUAUGCUAUGUAGUUCAACGUGCUGUCGUGAAAACGAGAAGGCAGGUACUGCCGAGGCCAAUUUUAUGCAGGAAGGAACGGGCCCAGAAAAUCCUGGUGCUUUGUAAGGUCCUCCCCAGCCAAGGACUGACCCCACAGUACCCAGUACCGCCUCCUGGUGGUUGGCGGGGACACGCGGCCCAGCCUGUUCUGUGCGCUAGGAGAAGGCUGUUGCUUGGCUAAAAGGACUUUGUCCCAGUCCCCAGCCUUCUCAGCCCCUGCCUUCCCCCUAAUUCAAUUUGUUAUCUCUACACUACAGGUCUAGCGAUGAAGCUCAUUAUCCUGGAACACUAUUCCCAGGCCAGUGAGUGGGCGGCCAAGUAUAUUAGGAACCGUAUCAUCCAGUUUAACCCAGGGCCUGACAAGUACUUCACCCUGGGGCUCCCCACUGGUAUGCUGUGGGAAAGAGAGGGUGGUGGGUAGGGCGGUUCCAAUUGGGAGAAAAUAAAGGGGGUUUACAGGAGCAGAACAUAACAGGUGAUCAAAACAAAGUAAUCACAAUUAAAGAGGGGAGGGGAUUGGUUCAUAGAACCUUUGGAGACAAAGGGAGGGUUGCAAAAUGGUUGUAAAUAACUUUUUGAAAUAAAGGUACGAUUGCCAUUCCUGGAACAGGCAGUAAAGAACCAGCCCUAGUUAAAGUUGCAGGUGAGGUAUAGCCCAGUCCUUGAAAAACAGAGGUUUAAUUAUCAACAAGAAGCAGAGGUUAAAUCCUAACUCAGGCCUGUUCUCUGCAUGUAGAAGGUACUAGCUCAGCCCUGCUCAUAGGAGAACUGAGAAGUUAACCAUUCAGAUACUUUUCUAUAAAGCUUAAUUGAUUAUAAAGUCCAAUUGUCGUCUGAAAAAAAAAAAAAAAGGUCUGAAUGUUAGCCUUUACAGGAAGAUAUUUUUGCUCAGUGCCUCAAAAAAGUAUCCUAAAUAUUUCUUUCACAAGUGGGGAGAUGGAUCUUGGUGGUUUUGUCUGCCCAUCCACUGUAAAGAGGCCUUCAGACUUUUGCAGUAAAUAUUUCAGGCUCCACUAUUGUAGCUCCUCAUUUUGCCAUUGUAGGGAGGUGAUAUAUAGCCACAGGUGAUAAUAUAUGUGGAUGAGUGUGGCUAUGUGUCAAUAAGACUUUAUUUAUAGACACUGAAGUUUGAGCGUCCAUAAUUUUCAUGUUAUGAAAUAUUCUUUGGAUUAAAAAAAUUUUUUUUAACAACUUCAAAACCAUUCUGGUGGCUCAGCAGUUAAAAGCACUGCCGGCUGGUCUUGCAGAGGGCUUGAGUUGAGUUCCUGUAUCAGUCCCCCAGCUAUCUGUAACUCCAGUUCCAGAUAGUGUGAAGCCCUCUUCUGGAGUCUGCAGACACCUGCAUUCACGUGCAUAGUCUCACACAUAGUUAAAAAGGACAUUUUUUUGUUUUGUUUUGAGACACAGUCUUACUCGGUAACCUUGGCUUGGAGCUGCCUGUGUAGACCAGACUGGGCUCAAACUCAGAAGUGCACCUUCAUUGCUCCCCAGUGCUAGGAUUAACGGUGUGCACUACCACACCCGGCAAGUGAAGCUUUCUAGCCGCUUAGCCACCUCUCCAGCCCCACUCAGCAGGUACCAGCAUAGUGGUACUGUCCCUGCUGUACACCAAACAUUAAGGUUCUGGGGAUAUAGCAACAACAUUC
rnacentral:lncRNA from 1 species